GAUGAACGCUGGCGGCGUGCCUAAUACAUGCAAGUCGAGCGAAUGGAUUAAGAGCUUGCUCUUAUGAAGUUAGCGGCGGACGGGUGAGUAACACGUGGGUAACCUGCCCAUAAGACUGGGAUAACUCCGGGAAACCGGGGCUAAUACCGGAUAACAUUUUGAACCGCAUGGUUCGAAAUUGAAAGGCGGCUUCGGCCGUCACUUAUGGAUGGACCCGCGUCGCAUUAGCUAGUUGGUGAGGUAACGGCUCACCAAGGCAACGAUGCGUAGCCGACCUGAGAGGGUGAUCGGCCACAGUGGGACUGAGACACGGCCCAGACUCCGACGGGAGGCAGCAGUAGGGAGUCUUCCGCAAUGGACGAAAGUCUGACGGAGCAACGCCGCGUGAGUGAUGAAGGCUUUCGGGUCGUAAAACUCUGUUGUUAGGGAAGAACAAGUGCUAGUUGAAUAAGCUGGCACCUUGACGGUACCUAACCAGAAAGCCACGGCUAACUACGUGCCAGCCGCCGCAGUAA
rnacentral:rRNA from 1 species